rnacentral:rRNA from 1 species
AGGACGAACGCUGGCGGCGUGCUUAACACAUGCAAGUCGAGCGGAAAGGCCCUUCGGGGUACUCGAGCGGCGAACGGGUGAGUAACACGUGAGCAACCUGCCCCUGGCUCUGGGAUAGGCCUCCGGAAACGGGGAUUAAUACCGGACAUGACCUCUGACCGCAUGGUUGGGGGUGGAAAGUUUUUCGGCCAGGGUGGGGCUCGCGGCCUAUCAGCUUGUUGGGGGGGUGACGGCCCACCAAGGCGACGACGGGUAG